rnacentral:rRNA from 1 species
CAGUACCGUGAGGGAAAGGCGAAAAGAACCCCGGCGAGGGGAGUGAAAAAGAACCUGAAACCGUGUACGUACAAGCAGUGGGAGCCUCUUUAUGGGGUGACUGCGUACCUUUUGUAUAAUGGGUCAGCGACUUAUAUUCUGUAGCAAGGUUAACCGAAUAGGGGAGCCGAAGGGAAACCGAGUCUUAACUGGGCGUUAAGUUGCAGGGUAUAGACCCGAAACCCGGUGAUCUAGCCAUGGGCAGGUUGAAGGUUGGGUAACACUAACUGGAGGACCGAACCGACUAAUGUUGAAAAAUUAGCGGAUGACUUGUGGCUGGGGGUGAAAGGCCAAUCAAACCGGGAGAUAGCUGGUUCUCCCCGAAAGCUAUUUAGGUAGCGCCUCGUGAAUUCAUCUCCGGGGGUAGAGCACUGUUUCGGCAAGGGGGUCAUCCCGACUUACCAACCCGAUGCAAACUGCGAAUACCGGAGAAUGUUAUCACGGGAGACACACGGCGGGUGCUAACGUCCGUCGUGAAGAGGGAAACAACCCAGACCGCCAGCUAAGGUCCCAAAGUCAUGGUUAAGUGGGAAACGAUGUGGGAAGGCCCAGACAGCCAGGAUGUUGGCUUAGAAGCAGCCAUCAUUUAAAGAAAGCGUAAUAGCUCACUGGUCGAGUCGGCCUGCGCGGAAGAUGUAACGGGGCUAAACCAUGCACCGAAGCUGCGGCAGCGACGCUUAUGCGUUGUUGGGUAGGGGAGCGUUCUGUAAGCCUGCGAAGGUGUACUGUGAGGUAUGCUGGAGGUAUCAGAAGUGCGAAUGCUGACAUAAGUAACGAUAAAGCGGGUGAAAAGCCCGCUCGCCGGAAGACCAAGGGUUCCUGUCCAACGUUAAUCGGGGCAGGGUGAGUCGACCCCUAAGGCGAGGCCGAAAGGCGUAGUCGAUGGGAAACAGGUUAAUAUUCCUGUACUUGGUGUUACUGCGAAGGGGGGACGGAGAAGGCUAUGUUGGCCGGGCGACGGUUGUCCCGGUUUAAGCGUGUAGGCUGGUUUUCCAGGCAAAUCCGGAAAAUCAAGGCUGAGGCGUGAUGACGAGGCACUACGGUGCUGAAGCAACAAAUGCCCUGCUUCCAGGAAAAGCCUCUAAGCAUCAGGUAACAUCAAAUCGUACCCCAAACCGACACAGGUGGUCAGGUAGAGAAUACCAAGGCGCUUGAGAGAACUCGGGUGAAGGAACUAGGCAAAAUGGUGCCGUAACUUCGGGAGAAGGCACGCUGAUACGUAGGUGAAGUCCCUUGCGGAUGGAGCUGAAAUCAGUCGAAGAUACCAGCUGGCUGCAACUGUUUAUUAAAAACACAGCACUGUGCAAACACGAAAGUGGACGUAUACGGUGUGACGCCUGCCCGGUGCCGGAAGGUUAAUUGAUGGGGUUAGCGGUAACGCGAAGCUCUUGAUCGAAGCCCCGGUAAACGGCGGCCGUAACUAUAACGGUCCUAAGGUAGCGAAAUUCCUUGUCGGGUAAGUUCCGACCUGCACGAAUGGCGUAAUGAUGGCCAGGCUGUCUCCACCCGAGACUCAGUGAAAUUGAACUCGCUGUGAAGAUGCAGUGUACCCGCGGCAAGACGGAAAGACCCCGUGAACCUUUACUAUAGCUUGACACUGAACAUUGAGCCUUGAUGUGUAGGAUAGGUGGGAGGCUUUGAAGUGUGGACGCCAGUCUGCAUGGAGCCGACCUUGAAAUACCACCCUUUAAUGUUUGAUGUUCUAACGUUGGCCCCUAAUCGGGGUUGCGGACAGUGUCUGGUGGGUAGUUUGACUGGGGCGGUCUCCUCCUAAAGAGUAACGGAGGAGCACGAAGGUUGGCUAAUCCUGGUCGGACAUCAGGAGGUUAGUGCAAUGGCAUAAGCCAGCUUGACUGCGAGCGUGACGGCGCGAGCAGGUGCGAAAGCAGGUCAUAGUGAUCCGGUGGUUCUGAAUGGAAGGGCCAUCGCUCAACGGAUAAAAGGUACUCCGGGGAUAACAGGCUGA